GCCAAGUAACCAGCCCCUACCUUCCGCCAACCAGGCACGUGGCGUGCCUGCACCCGAUACCUGAACAGUGAUACGAAUCGCCGUCAUCGGCGUACCUCCUGAACCGAGGACCCGGCUGGAUGGUAAACCACAUGAACCCUGCCGUAUUGUGCGUGAAUUAUGACUUUUCAUCCCUUAAUCCUUCACCUUUUAGAGCCACAGCCACUCCCAAUGGAAAUAAC